rnacentral:rRNA from 1 species
UACGUAGGGGGCGAGCGUUGUCCGGAAUUACUGGGCGUAAAGCGCGCGCAGGUGGUGCGGCAAGUCCGGCGUGAAAGUCCCCGGCUUAACCGGGAGGAGUCGUUGGAAACUGUCGUACUGGAGGGCGGAAGAGGAGCAUGGAAUUCCCGGUGUAGUGGUGAAAUGCGUAGAGAUCGGGAGGAACACCAGUGGCGAAGGCGGUGCUCUGGUCCGCACCUGACGCUGAGGCGCGAAAGCGUGGGGAGCGAAC